UUAAUUAAAAUUGACCCUCAAUCACAACGUCACAACCUUCUUACCUAUUUCUCCAUCCCUCAAACUUAGACUGUACGUCCCCUCUAGCCCUCUUCAUCGGCUUCCACCGCACUACCCCUUCUCACUCUCGGUGCUCCACUGUAAAUCUCGUCCACCACAGCCUUCCACCAUCGCAAGUUCGCAACCCGUGCUCCAAAGGCAGCAAUUGCCACCUCCCGACCUACAUCAUCGGUGGCUUCCACCUUAAAGUUAGGGUAAUUAUGGGCAAAAGAGAUGCAGAACUCGAAGGCAAUGCCAAAUAUAAUUGGAGGAACGAUGUUUGAUAUUUAAGCUACGACUAUUGCUACUACCAAGACCACCACUACAGCAAGAUUGAAUGGUAUGACAAAAUGAGGUGUGAAAAGCUAUUGAGUUUCAGCAAGGGUUCCAUGGCGAGGGAGUGAGAUACCAUGAGUUAGAGCAUUGGAAGUUUGAAGACGAUGGAAAGAAAUACUUCCGCCAUGCUACAGGGCUAAAAAAAACACAUGCUUGCAUGUAUGUAGCUGCCAAUGUUACUGUUAUUAUAUUGCUGCUGCUGGUACUGACGUCUAAGGCUGUUAUUGAUGUUUGUUGCUGCUGAUGUUUGUUGCUACUACUGCCUGUUGGCCUCGUACUGCUGACUAAUGUUACUGCAAGUUGCUGCUAGCUGCUUUUCCUUCUAGCCUAGUACUACUCACUACAAUUACUACAAGCUGCUGCUACUUCUAUCCUAGUAUUACUCACUGCAAUUACUGCAAGCUUCUACUAGCCACUUUUACUGCUAGCCUGGUACUGUUGAAUGCAGUUACUAUUAGCUACUGCUAUCGAUUGCUACACCUAGCUGCUGCUACUGCUGUCUAUUUGCUACCGCGCGACUGUUUUAAAUUAUUUUGUUUAUCAUGUUUGUGAAUUUGGUGGUCAAGCUAGAGACCAGGGUUCACUUUCUUUUUGUUCUGUUUAUUAAAUUGUUUAGGCAAACAAAAAAUUGGUGUUUAUGGAUUCUUUUUAAAUAAACUACGAAAUUUUAUCAAUUCAAA